AGCGAACGCUGGCGGCAGGCUUAACACAUGCAAGUCGAACGGGCUUCUUCGGAAGUCAGUGGCAGACGGGUGAGUAACACGUGGGAACGUGCCCUUCGGUUCGGAAUAACUCAGGGAAACUUGAGCUAAUACCGGAUACGCCCUUAUGGGGAAAGGUUUACUGCCGAAGGAUCGGCCCGCGUCUGAUUAGCUUGUUGGUGGGGUAACGGCCUACCAAGGCGACGAUCAGUAGCUGGUCUGAGAGGAUGAUCAGCCACACUGUGACUGAGACACGGCCCAGACUCCUACGGGAGGCAGCAGUGGGGAAUAUUGGACAAUGGGCGCAAGCCUGAUCCAGCCAUGCCGCGUGAGUGAUGAAGGCCUUAGGGUUGUAAAGCUCUUUUGUCCGGGACGAUAAUGACGGUACCGGAAGAAUAAGCCCCGGCUAACUUCGUG
rnacentral:rRNA from 1 species